rnacentral:rRNA from 1 species
UACGUAGGGCGCAAGCGUUGUCCGGAAUUAUUGGGCGUAAAGAGCUCGUAGGCGGCCAGUUGCGUCUGCUGUGAAAUCCCGGGGCUCAACCCCGGGCGUGCAGUGGAUACGGGCUGGCUAGAGGCAGGCAGGGGAGAACGGAAUUCCCGGUGUAGCGGUGAAAUGCGCAGAUAUCGGGAGGAACACCAACGGCGAAAGCACUCUGCUGGGCCGACACUGACACUGAGAGACGAAAGCUAGGGGAGCGAAUGGG